UACGUAGGGUGCAAGCGUUAAUCGGAAUUACUGGGCGUAAAGCGUGCGCAGGCGGCUAUGCAAGACAGAUGUGAAAUCCCCGGGCUCAACCUGGGAACUGCAUUUGUGACUGCAUGGCUAGAGUACGGUAGAGGGGGAUGGAAUUCCGCGUGUAGCAGUGAAAUGUGUAGAUAUGCGGAGGAACACCGAUGGCGAAGGCAAUCCCCUGGACCUGUACUGACGCUCAUGCACGAAAGCGUGGGGAGCAAACAGG
rnacentral:rRNA from 1 species